UAAUACGGAGGGUGCAAGCGUUAUCCGGAUUCACUGGGUUUAAAGGGUGUGUAGGCGGGUCUGUAAGUCAGUGGUGAAAUCUCCGGGCUCAACCCGGAAACUGCCAUUGAUACUAUAGGUCUUGAAUACCGAUGAGGUGGGCGGAAUAUGUCAUGUAGCGGUGAAAUGCAUAGAUAUGACAUAGAACACCAAUUGCGAAGGCAGCUCACUAAACGGUCAUUGACGCUGAGGCACGAAAGCGUGGGGAUCAAACAGGAUUAGAUACCCUGGUAGUCCACGCCCUAAACGAUGAUUACUCGACAUACGCGAUACACAGUGUGUGUCUGAGCGAAAGCAUUAAGUAAUCCACCUGGGAAGUACGUCCGCAAGGAUG
rnacentral:rRNA from 1 species